rnacentral:rRNA from 1 species
GGGUUGUGAGGUUAAGCGACUAAGCGUACACGGUGGAUGCCCUGGCAGUCAGAGGCGAUGAAGGACGUGCUAAUCUGCGAUAAGCGUCGGUAAGGUGAUAUGAACCGUUAUAACCGGCGAUUUCCGAAUGGGGAAACCCAGUGUGUUUCGACACACUAUCAUUAACUGAAUCCAUAGGUUAAUGAGGCGAACCGGGGGAACUGAAACAUCUAAGUACCCCGAGGAAAAGAAAUCAACCGAGAUUCCCCCAGUAGCGGCGAGCGAACGGGGAGCAGCCCAGAGCCUGAAUCAGUGUGUGUGUUAGUGGAAGCGUCUGGAAAGGCGCGCGAUACAGGGUGACAGCCCCGUACACAAAAAUGCACAUACUGUGAGCUCGAUGAGUAGGGCGGGACACGUGGUAUCCUGUCUGAAUAUGGGGGGACCAUCCUCCAAGGCUAAAUACUCCUGACUGACCGAUAGUGAACCAGUACCGUGAGGGAAAGGCGAAAAGAACCCCGGCGAGGGGAGUGAAAAAGAACCUGAAACCGUGUACGUACAAGCAGUGGGAGCCUCUUUUAUGGGGUGACUGCGUACCUUUUGUAUAAUGGGUCAGCGACUUAUAUUCUGUAGCAAGGUUAACCGAAUAGGGGAGCCGAAGGGAAACCGAGUCUUAACUGGGCGUUAAGUUGCAGGGUAUAGACCCGAAACCCGGUGAUCUAGCCAUGGGCAGGUUGAAGGUUGGGUAACACUAACUGGAGGACCGAACCGACUAAUGUUGAAAAAUUAGCGGAUGACUUGUGGCUGGGGGUGAAAGGCCAAUCAAACCGGGAGAUAGCUGGUUCUCCCCGAAAGCUAUUUAGGUAGCGCCUCGUGAAUUCAUCUCCGGGGGUAGAGCACUGUUUCGGCAAGGGGGUCAUCCCGACUUACCAACCCGAUGCAAACUGCGAAUACCGGAGAAUGUUAUCACGGGAGACACACGGCGGGUGCUAACGUCCGUCGUGAAGAGGGAAACAACCCAGACCGCCAGCUAAGGUCCCAAAGUCAUGGUUAAGUGGGAAACGAUGUGGGAAGGCCCAGACAGCCAGGAUGUUGGCUUAGAAGCAGCCAUCAUUUAAAGAAAGCGUAAUAGCUCACUGGUCGAGUCGGCCUGCGCGGAAGAUGUAACGGGGCUAAACCAUGCACCGAAGCUGCGGCAGCGACACU